rnacentral:rRNA from 1 species
GUACACUCCUGCGGGAGGCAGCAGUGGGGAAUAUUGAACAAUGGGCGCAAGCCUGAUCCAGCCAUGCCGCGUGAGUGAUGAAGGCCCUAGGGUUGUAAAGCUCUUUCACCGGUGAAGAUAAUGACGGUAACCGGAGAAGAAGCCCCGGCUAACUUCGUGCCAGCAGCCGCGGUAAUACGAAGGGGGCUAGCGUUGUUCGGAUUUACUGGGCGUAAAGCGCACGUAGGCGGACUAUUAAGUCAGGGGUGAAAUCCCGGGGCUCAACCCCGGAACUGCCUUUGAUACUGGUAGUCUUGAGUUCGAGAGAGGUGAGUGGAAUUCCGAGUGUAGAGGUGAAAUUCGUAGAUAUUCGGAGGAACACCAGUGGCGAAGGCGGCUCACUGGCUCGAUACUGACGCUGAGGUGCGAAAGCGUGGGGAGCAAACAGGAUUAGAAACCCGGGUAGUCCCA